rnacentral:rRNA from 1 species
CAGCCGCCGCGGGAAUACCGAGGGUGCGAGCGUUAAUCGGAUUUACUGGGCGUAAAGCGUGCGUAGGCGGCUUUUUAAGUCGGAUGUGAAAUCCCUGAGCUUAACUUAGGAAUUGCAUUCGAUACUGGGAAGCUAGAGUAUGGGAGAGGAUGGUAGAAUUCCAGGUGUAGCGGUGAAAUGCGUAGAGAUCUGGAGGAAUACCGAUGGCGAAGGCAGCCAUCUGGCCUAAUACUGACGCUGAGGUACGAAAGCAUGGGGAGCAAACAGGAUUAGAUACCCGGGUAGUCCCUGUCUCUUAUAC